rnacentral:lncRNA from 1 species
CUUGCAAGAUAAGGAAAAGCAUGAUUUGUUAUUGUCUGCAAAUAACUGGAUCUCUACCACACUGAAAAUGAAUGUAAAAUAGGGAUAGUCUCUGCUGCCCAGGCAUUCAGCAUGCCAAUUAGAAAACCAGGGGCAGGGGCAACAUGAGGAGGUGCCAUGUAGCUUUAUGAAUGUUCCCCUGUCUCUGGGCAGACACUUGUGGGCCCUAGUGAGGACAUAAUGGAUGGUGAGUGAGCUUCAUGCCCUCCUCCGCACAGGAGGUGAUGCCCAUGAAGCCAAGGGCCAGAAGCGCUUGGAGGAUUAGAAAAUGGACAUUUUCCUUCUGUUCUUAAACCAUUCCAUGAACAGCUGGGUACCGAGAAAAUGAGCAGGUGAUUUCAGAUUUACGAAGCUGCAUCCUGACCCCCUAGGCAGAGCCUUUGAGAACAGAAGGUGGGAGGCUGACAGAGAUAGGUAGAUGUGGGCAUCUGAACCCAAAACAGUAGCUCUGAUUACAUAUGGACCCUUGAACCAGCUGCUAGAAAGGGCUGCCAUGGUGCCAGGAAACUGUCCCUCUCUCAGCGUGGAGAAGCCAGUCAACAGAUUCUAAAGGCUCAAGAAUUAUCAUGUGGGAGUUCAUGACAUCUUUUGAAGAGUAAAUGAAAUCUUCAAAGCCGAAAUAGAUCAAGUCCAAUCUCUUCAUUUUACAGAUGAAGAUUGGGCAUAUACUCAUUUGGGUAGAGAUCACAUUUCCCAGCCUCCUUUGUGGUCAGGUGUAUCUACAGAAUGAAAGUGACUAAGUACUCGUCAGAAGAAUGUGAAACAAAGGUCUGCUCCCAAGAGUUCUCAACUGUGGAAUGGAAUCACCUUCCCUUUACCUCAUCCUCUCCAUUUCCUACUCUGCUCUCCCCCCAAAAUAAGUGAAUAAAUA